AGCGAACGCUGGCGGCAGGCCUAACACAUGCAAGUCGAACGAACCUUUCGGGGUUAGUGGCGGACGGGUGAGUAACACGUGGGAACGUGCCUUUAGGUUCGGAAUAACUCAGGGAAACUUGUGCUAAUACCGAAUGUGCCCUUCGGGGGAAAGAUUUAUCGCCUUUAGAGCGGCCCGCGUCUGAUUAGCUAGUUGGUUGAGGUAAUGGCUCACCAAGGCGACGAUCAGUAGCUGGUCUGAGAGGAUGAUCAGCCACAUUGGGACUGAGACACGGCCCAAACUCCUACGGGAGGCAGCAGUGGGGAAUCUUGCGCAAUGGGCGAAAGCCUGACGCAGCCAUGCCGCGUGAAUGAUGAAGGUCUUAGGAUUGUAAAAUUCUUUCACCGGGGACGAUAAUGACGGUACCCGGAGAAGAAGCCCCGGCUAACUU
rnacentral:rRNA from 1 species